rnacentral:tRNA from 1 species
CUCUAGUUAGCUAAUUUGUUAUAAGUGUUAGACUCUUAAUCUAAUUAUGAUAGUUAAAUUCUAUCACUGGAGA